GAAUGUUUUUGUUGGCCUGAGGAGGAUGUUAAGUUGGCGUCGAAAGCGUUGGCCGAAUGGAGACUUUUUGGAGUUUGUGAGCCAUACUGCGGAUGGUGCUGUCUUGUUUGUAGAAGUCUUAGUAAAAUUCUUAUAUUUUGUAUCUCUUGGAAUAGUCCACUUUCCUAUAUUAGAUGUGGUCUUUCUGAUUGAUGUCUUUGAGACUGAACUGACUGUAUCAAUAAAUGUAUCAAGCUUUGUUAUAUUAUCAUAAACUAUUAUAUUUUCUUUAAUAUUUUUACUUACUUUUGUAUAAUGUUCAUUUAUUGCAAACUGUUUUAUCUGCAGGAUAAUUCUUUAUAGGAUGUGCCUCAUAUUUGUUAGAAAUCACUAUAAAUUUGAGUGCCUACACAUAUUUACCCCAUGAUCAACCCCAAUUUGAGGGAAUGCAGCUAAUAUAAAACAAACUCUGUUCUCCAUCUUUUUUUGGUCUCCUCUCUCCAUGUUAAUUAGUCAUUCGAUAACCAUUGCUAGAUGCAGUUUAGUGCCAUUUUUUAUUGUAUAUUAAAGUAACUUGUAUUUAAUGUAUAAGUGUUUCCACUGUUUUCUUAUCUAAAUUCAUAACAGGUUAUGGCCCCAGGAAAUACUGGAAAAUUAUAAAACUGAAAAGUUGAAAUGUGAAGAGACC
rnacentral:lncRNA from 1 species